rnacentral:lncRNA from 1 species
GUCGCCGAUAACAGGGUGUUGCAAAGGCAUGGUGCUGUCAAAUCGACUGCGCUACCACUUCUGUUACGAAAAGCGCAUAUGACAGUUGGCAGCGUUCAUGGCGUGCUGGAAAGAAAUUUGCAAACACAAGUACCAACUGUGUGGGAAUUUUGCAUUGGAAGUGAGAAGACUAUGUAUAACAACGCCAUCGGAAAAUACCGGAUAAAUAUCCACCCGAGCACUGGAAGUUUUGGCGCAAAAACAUUUAAAGCGUUGCUUUAUCAAACUAACACAACAGGAAAUAAUUUUUGCAGUAUAUUUUAUGAUAACAGCUAGUGAACUUUUCAAAUAUACCAUCUGAUUUUGAUUUUGCAGAUUGAAAUUUGAUCCAAACUACUAAUCCCUUUAAAGUAACUAUAAGCAAACGUUGGGAAACCAUUUCUUCCUUGAUUAGUACAACGUUUUUUAUGUUCUUGUGAAGUUUGAUCUCCAUGUGUCAAAAAGUAUAGAAAAUGCAUCUUUAUUUAUUAUAAUUUUUUUUUGCUAAAUUCAAAUCUACAUCUAAAUCUAAAAAUCAAAUGUAUUAGAAUAUGUGUGUUAAAGGGUAUCUUAAAGUUUACACCACUAUUCACGUCAGCGAAGAAAACUUUGUAAGUCAUGCGGCCCAGUUGACUGGUGCUAAAAACUUUGUGAGUCAACAAAAAUAAACAUUUUAACACAAACAACGAACCAUAUGGUGCAAAAAUAAAAUAAACAUUAAUUUACUAGUUGGAUGAAUCAAAUCGAAAUAGUUGGUUUAACUUCGUAGUAGCGGUACCUGCAACUAAAGUAAACUUCAGUAAUAAAAUUCCAACAUACAUACACAAAUGUGAGAAGUACGAAAUCAACAUGCUGUUAUUUAAAGCAAAUAGGAGUGAAGUGACUAACACAAGGUAGAAAUAUUACAGCCAGACUAGCGCUAUUUACGUAAAACAUGUAUGCAUAUUUGUCUUUUGCAUGCUUCAAGGCGCUUAGAUACUGUGUUCUGUCUAGUGAUUCGAGCAAAAUGCAUAAUUGUAAUAAGCAUAUGUAUGUUUUUACUUUUUAGUAUGAAAAUACCGAAAAAGAUGUAUGAAAGUUCGCGUGCUGCAAACACGAAUGUAUGCAUAUGUAUCUAUGUAUGUAGAUCUUAUAUGUACAUACAUAGUAUGUAUAUAAUAUGGAUAUAUGCAUUUGCAUCCCUUACUGCUGUACAAGUGUCUGUGCGUUUGCACACUCAUGACCGCUUGAGUAAAUAAUAAAUGGGCCAGACGUAGGCGUCAUUGAGUCUGGGCUGCAUUAAUAAUUCGCACAGUAUAAAGGAAAAGGAAAUACAAAAACAAAUUUCUUUUGGAAUGACGUUGAGCAGGCAAGCAGUGGGCGUUGAAGUCAGAUGCUAUAAUUUCUUUGUACAUUUAUUCGUAUUUGCUCGCAUAUUCUUAUACACGAAGUUUUGCUUAGGAAAUGGAUGAGUAAAGAAUUUCCACGCGUAGAGUAUAUUUGCCGAACGAAAUGCCUUCGUUAUGGCAUCAGACUUAUUUUUGUGAGAGAUGUUUGUAACUUCGAAAACUUUGUGUACAUUUUUAUUAUUUACCCAUAGUUUAGGAUGCACAAGUUGUGAGUAAACCUACGCUAUACAGUUAUAACUCUGUUUCUAAUUGCUAGAUAUGUAAAUAAAGAAAAUUAGACAAAAAACUUUUUUUAAA